UACGGAGGGGGCUAGCGUUGUUCGGAAUUACUGGGCGUAAAGCGCACGUAGGCGGCUUUGUAAGUCAGGGGUGAAAGCCUGGAGCUCAACUCCAGAACUGCCUUUGAGACUGCAUCGCUUGAAUCCGGGAGAGGUAAGUGGAAUUCCGAGUGUAGAGGUGAAAUUCGUAGAUAUUCGGAAGAACACCAGUGGCGAAGGCGGCUUACUGGACCGGGAUUGACGCUGAGGUGCGAAAGCGUGGGGGAGCAAACAGG
rnacentral:rRNA from 1 species